rnacentral:rRNA from 1 species
GAACGAGAAAGUGGAGCAAUCCAUGAGUAAAGUGGCGACCGGGUGAGUAACACGUGACUAACCUACCUCCGAGUGGGGAAUAACUCCGGGAAACCGGGGCUAAUACCGCAUAACAUCGCGAGAUCAAAGCAGCAAUGCGCUUGGAGAGGGGGUCGCGGCUGAUUAGCUAGUUGGCGGGGUAACGGCCCACCAAGGCGAAGAUCGGUAUCCGGCCUGAGAGGGCGCACGGACACACUGGAACUGAAACACGGGCCAGACUCCUACGGGAGGCAGCAGUGGGGAAUCUUGCGCAAUGGGCGAAAGCCUGACGCAGCGACGCCGCGUGGGGGAUGAAGCUUUUCGGAGUGUAAACCCCUUUCGACUGGGACGA